UAGCAAUGUCCGACCAGCAGGUCUGUGACAGGAACCACAAUACUCCUUCGAAACAAGAUCCUCCACCACACCAUCUACAGCAGGACGGAUGUUCUUCAUCAUCCUCACCCUCCUCUUCCACUCAGUAAAAUCUGACAGAGGGAGCAGCGGGUGCGUCCUGCGCCCGGCUGCAGGCGGCCCUCUCAAUGGUCUCUCCUACCAUGAAAGCGGUGGUGGAUGCUGUGUGGGCGGUGUGGAGCAUCGGGGCCUCCAUCUAUGACUACAUCCACACCAACGCCAUGGAGGAGCGCAUCCACGCCCUGGAAAACGUCAUCACCAUCCAUGAGUGUGUGAUCGGGCUGCUGUCUGCCGGCGUGCUGACCCUCUUCACUUACAUCCUCUUAAAGAAGCUCUGAGGAGGUGUGAAGGGGCCUGCUGGAGCAGACGUGUGAGAGGUGGAAUCACCAGAAUCAGACACUGACAUUGAAUGUGGUAAAACAAACACUGAUCAGACAGAUAAAGGGGAAAGUUACACUUUGGGUACUUAAGACUUGCUCAUAAGAACUGGAAGGUACGAGCAGUUCUCAAGGGAGCAGACACAUAACAUUAAGUUAAAAUUAUUUCUAAAAGCUACUGUUUUAAAACCUCAUUCCAGUGUUUGCACCGGUUUUGGGGGGAAACACUGAUGUUGAUGUUGUCUGUGUAGCAGCUUGUUGAGGAGGUGAGCAUGUGAGGCUACAGGUCCACCUAUUUUUUAAAUGCCCAUUUAAACUGUUGAUUUUAUGCUCCAUUCAAGAUCUUUCCAGUUUCAUUUUUAAUUUAAUACCUCAUUUGAAUGGCUUAAGCACAAAAAAAUUGAUUCAUUGUUCCCCCUGAUUAAGUUUUAACCUCUAUUACCAUAAACUAAAACAUUUUCAUCAUCACAGGACAUUGUGACUCAGCAGUUCAGUGCAGGUUUUACAGACUGGAUUAAAUUAAAAUGAUUAAAGGACUUAAAUAUGUAAAUAUAUAAAAAUAUACCUAGUGCCAACAGUUAGAGAAAAAUUGACACACAGCGUUUUGAAUAGUUGAUGUAGCUCAAAAUAACAGUAAACCAGUAAAUAUACCAACCUUAUUAGUUACCCCUACUCAAACUAUCAUACCUGUGUGUCUGAACAAUAUUAAAAAACAUUUCUCUAAAGAAACCUUCAACUGUGAGUGUGUGCGUGUGUGUGUGUGUAUUUGAGUAUAGAAAAAAUGAUAAUUUACCAAGUCAACCGCCUUAAAUCACAUUCUUUUCUCUAUUCUUGUUUUCCUGUUGGCAAUCAUUUCUCUUGAAGACUCAGUAAAAAAUUAAAGACGAUAAUUCCAUUGAAACUAGUGUCUGGAGAGAGCAGCUGUCUCUCAUAUCACCCAAAUAGUCGAUUGAUGAAUCGUUUUAAACACCUUGUCUCUUACUAUAAGUACAUCCUGUUUAGUCUUCGGUGUGUUUGAUAAAACACCCAUUAUAAUCCCUUAUGAUACAAUAUGAUUGGUUUACUUGUCAUCUUUAUUUUCAAUGCAACAUUAGGAUUAAUUCAUACGGUAAAUUUCGGUUAAUCCCCACUGCUGUUGGUAAAUAUGAAGUGUCCUUAAAAACUGUAAAUAUAUUUAAAUGUUCAAAAGCAGUUUUUCAGCUUUCAUACAUGUGCAAUUACCCUGUAGUACUACUGCUGCUUAAUAUUUUAUAAGGCAACAUUUUGUACCAUGUAACAUCAUGUUUAAAUGAGAUAAUAGGUAUCGACUGGAUCAAUGUGUAAUGUGAAAUGAGCAGUUUCUUUUGCAGGAUAAGAGGUUUUUGUAAGUUUAACUUUAAACAGCUUAUCUAACCUGCUGAGUGAUGAGUCUUUGGAGACUGCAGCUAUAGCCCUGAUUUUAGAGAAAUUGCUGUGUAUUUUUGUGUAAAUGUGUUACGGUCCAAAAAGGUACACAACAAGAGAACGUGCAAGGAUGAAACAGUUUUAUUUCAUUUUAACAGUUUUCUCGAAAUGUCAAAUAAACAUGGAAUUCAAUGCAAUUAAACUGCACCUCUCUCACAACAGUGCAAGAUUCCAACAUCAGUCCAACGCAGUGUUGUGUACAAAAAUGAAAAGCUAAAGUGUGUAACACUUCUGAUUGAAGUUGUGGCCACGAGAAGCUUUUCUUUCACAUCUCUGAACAUUUCUUCAAACAAUCUGCUAAAGCCACUGAGGAAGAAUUGACUGCAAACUUCAGAAACUGCGCCACUGGGUUGGAAAUCAUAAGCGGACAUGAUACCAGUCGUCCACAGAGAAGAAAAGAAGAGCAAACCCUGUCUGAAAAUACGUGCUGCUUCUUCAGCUGACAAACUUCUACACAUGAGCUGGUGGAAUCUGAACUUGAAGGCCUUAAUCUGGAAUACAUGGACCUUAACAUAUGUGGCUACAAGUGUCCAGUCUGCAGGAGAGUGUGUUUGGAAGUGAA